AAACCCCUAAAUUUUCCCCCCUAAAAUUGGUAUCCCCAAAACACCCAAGUGUUUCUCUCUGCCACCACCGUCUUCAUCAUCAUCUUCCCCUCUCUCCCUCUUUUUGUAUACAGCUCAAAAGAGCUCAUACUUUAUCUGUUUCUCAUGUGACUCUGAAGCCUCUUUCUUUCCUUCAACAUACCCAAGAUUGUCUUCACCCGUGGGCAAGAUAAAUUCUUCAUAUGCGGUCAGAUGGGCCAUAUAGUGGCAAAUUGUGAAGGAAAGGCAAAGAGGAAGGAAGGAGAAUUUGAUGAGAAAGCUGACGGAAAAACUGUGGCCAGAAAGCCAUAUCAGGUUAAUAGCUUUCCACUAUGGGGUUUAAAAAGGUUUAUAAAUGCUUGAUGGAUAUUUUCCCGCAGAAAUGUAACAAACAUGCAGUGCAAGUAUAUUUUCUUACACCUACUGCACAUGUUGAUUCACGAAUUCUAAAAGCUGUUGCUAUCGAGAACUCUAAGGAUGUGGACGCAGUUGCGGAGAUUGUUCUGUCUGAGAUUCUGCCUUACCUAUCUAAACGAACCGUGGCUGGUAGUUCUUCCUCAUGGAAUCGGAGCCCUCCUGUGCAAGCAAAUGAAGGUCUACUGCUGCUGCCAAUAAAUUGGAGCAAGCUGGUUUCCAGAAUAUAGCUGGGAUGAUGAAGAUGAUUCUGUUACCAAGAUGAAGGCAGCUGAGGAAGCCUUGGAAGCAAAACAGAAAGUAACAAAUAGCUUGUUUGCUACCUGUUCUUUUUUUUUUAUCAUGUUUUAUAAUUUUGUGACAAAUUGUUCUUGGUACUCUGAAGAUAUUUAUGCAAAAUUACCCUAUGAUUCUAUUGUAUUUAUACUGCAUGGUUGCACCAUGUAUUUCUUAACUAGUUUGAUGAAUUUUAUGUGUGGUGUUUAAUUUUUCGUUA